AGAGAGAGACAUGCGCGCAUAUCAAUAAGCGGAGGAAAAGAAACUAACUAGGAUUCCCUCAGUAACGGCGAGUGAAGCGGGAAGAGCUCAAAUUUGAAAUCUUCAAGGUUCUACCUUGACGAAUUGUAGUUUAAAGAAGUGUUUUCUGUUGGAGUUUUGGUAAAAGUUCUUUGGAAUAGGACAUCAUAGAGGGUGAGAAUCCCGUAUUUGACCAUUAUUUCCAGCUUUGUGAUACACUUUCAAAGAGUCGGAUUGUUUGGGAAUGUAGUCCAAAAUGGGUGGUAAAUUUCAUCUAAAGCUAAAUAUUGGCGAGAGACCGAUAGCGAACAAGUACCGUGAGGGAAAGAUGAAAAGAACUUUGAAAAGAGAGUUAAACAGUACGUGAAAUUGUCAAAAGGGAAGCGUUUGACACCAGUGUUGUUUUCUCGAAAAUCAAUUAAAAAAGGCAGGAUUUUGUGUUGUAUUGACUUUAUCAGCUUUCUGCACUCUUUUCUUGUCUUUUUUAAUGCACUUUUCGUUUAACAAGUCAACAUCAAUUUCUUUUGUUGUAAAAGGGUCAUUGGAAGGUGGCUUUCUUUUCGGAGAAAGUGUUUAUAGCCUUUGGCCUCUGCAAUCGGAGAGAUUGAGGUCUGCAGCGUAGAUCCUUCGGGGUUAGAUACAUUUGUGCUAAGUUAUAGCCUUUCAUAGACAACUUGUUGACUAUGAUCAGUCAUGUAGCUUACUCGCUUAUGCUAUUUUACCUACGCUUAGGAUGUUGAUGUGAUACUGCGAGCA
rnacentral:rRNA from 1 species